AGUAGUGAUGCUCCAUUAGCCCUCCCAUAUCUGACUGAAACCUCUGCAGGAUCCCAGAUCCCUUUCUAGUGUUCCAGCCUUCAGGAUCCUGGUGCACCCCCAGAAGCUCCCCAGUCCCCACUGCGCAGCCUGCAGGAUCCUGCCGACAUCAACUGAAAGCACGAAACUGCAACAGGAAGAGACGCAUCUCGAGACCGAUUUCGCGUGCUCUGCAGGCCCGGUCCGCGGUGUGGGUUUUGCUGCAGGCCUGCGUCAGCUGUGAAACAGAACGCCAGAGGCACAAGCAAACUUGAUGCGUGUCUCUUUCCAUCACUGUCCCACACAUCUCCCUCUGUCCACUUUCUCGUCAUUUGAAAGCCUUCCCUUCUGGGAGAACAGAGGUAGCAGGGGGUUUUGCGAGUCCGGUUGCUCUCAGUUGCCAGGGAAUGGUCCGAGUCAGGCACCAGGAAGGAUAUCACUAAUCUGUUAGCGCAGGGAAGACUUCACCAAGGCAGUCCGGUGUUUAAGGGCACCUCGGUCCAUUUCCACAGUAGAUUUCAAGUCAACAACACAUAGAAGGGCACGGCUGAUGCUUUUCAUCAUUUUCUUCUCUCAUCCUUAAAAUAUCUGAACUGUUUAUGUUUACAACUAAAUGGAGCAUUGUUUCAAGUUGGCAGCAAAACUGGAAAAACAGGUUUUAAUUGGAGUUGUACUACACACAAAUUUGAUCACUGUAGCUGAUUACUUUUUAAUUUUAUAUCAAGGUGGAGAGAGGGGGGUUGAAACCAUUUGUGUUUCGUGUUUCUCUGGUUAUCCAUGACUUUAACAUUCAAAAUCAAUUUAUCGGAAUCAGUGAAACACAAAGCGACAACUGGACAGCUGGAGGUGGUUCUUUACACAAAGAGUGGUGGGAGUGUGGAAUGACCUACCCAGCUAUGUAGUUGAAGCAAUACUUUGUCUUCUUUCAAGAAGAAAUUUUGUCUUACAGUAUGUUGUUCGAUCCUUGCCUCCAAGCACAGACGUCUCAGGACACUGCCAGGAAAUUGUAAAAUCCCAGCUGUUCCCUAAUCUGGUAACCUGCACCUUACAAAUGCAGAAACCUUCACAGUAUAAAAGUUCUCUGUAUUUCUCUUAAUGUAACUAAACUGACUCAUGCUUGAAUCAGCCUUCCCUUUUACACGGAGAAUGUGUUUAAUCUUCAUGGAGAUAAAUUGCACAUCAUGAUUUAGUCAUUAAAACAUCAUCAUGUUCAGUAACUUGUGUUUACUCUGUAUCUGUCCAUAGUGCCAAAUAAAUCAA